UAGAUGGCGACCGGCGCACGGGUGAGUAACACGUAUCCAACCUGCCGAUAACUCGGGGAUAGCCUUUCGAAAGAAAGAUUAAUACCCGAUGGUAUAAUAAAGCCGCAUGGUUUAAUUAUUAAAGAAUUUCGGUUAUCGAUGGGGAUGCGUUCCAUUAGGCAGUUGGUGAGGUAACGGCUCACCAAACCUUCGAUGGAUAGGGGUUCUGAGAGGAAGGUCCCCCACAUUGGAACUGAGACACGGCCCAG
rnacentral:rRNA from 1 species